UACCAGCACCCCGAGUGGUCGGGACGUUUUAUUGGGCCUAAAGCAUCCGUAGCCGGUUCUACAAGUCUUCCGUUAAAUCCACCUGCUUAACAGAUGGGCUGCGGAAGAUACUAUAGAGCUAGGAGGCGGGAGAGGCAAGCGGUACUUAGUGGGUAGGGGUAAAAUCCGUUGAUCCAUUGAAGACCACCAGUGGCGAAGGCGGCUUGCCAGAACGCACUCGACGGUGAGGGAUGAAAGC
rnacentral:rRNA from 1 species